CGAAGUAGGAUUUUAUGCGUUAAGUGUUCAUUGGCUGGGGAGUCGCCGUGAAACGAAAAGCAGUACAGAUGCUUACGAUAUGAUUUCCGCACCCGUUG
rnacentral:ncRNA from 1 species